rnacentral:rRNA from 2 species
GGAUUCCCCUAGUAACUGCGAGUGAAGCGGGAAAAGCUCAAAUUUAAAAUCUAAUGGUCCUUGGCCAUUCGAGUUGUAAUUUAGAGAAGCGUCUUCCGCGCCAGACCAUGUACAAGUCUCCUGGAACGGAGCGUCAUAGAGGGUGAGAAUCCCGUCUUUGACAUGGACCCUUGGUGCUUCUGUGAUGCGCUCUCAAAGAGUCGAGUUGUUUGGGAAUGCAGCUCAAAAUGGGUGGUGAACUCCAUCUAAGGCUAAAUAUUGGCGAGAGACCGAUAGCGAACAAGUACCGUGAGGGAAAGAUGAAAAGCACUUUGGAAAGAGAGUGAAACAGUACGUGAAAUUGUUGAAAGGGAAACACUUGAAGUCAGUCGCGUCGAUCGAGACUCAGCCUUGGCUUGGCUUGGCGUACUUCUCGACUUGACGGGCCAGCAUCAAUUUCRUCCCUCGGAUAAUGGCAGGGGAAAGGUGGCACCUUCACSGGUGUGUUAUAGUCUCUUGUCGCAURCGAGGGGUGGGAUUGAGGAACUCAGCACGCACCUCACGGUGUCGGGGCUUCGGCCCACGUUACGUGCUCAGGAUGCCGGCGUAAUGGCUUUAAAUGACCCGUCUUGAAACACGGACCAAGGAGUCUAACAUGCCUGCGAGUGUUCGGGUGGAAAACCCGUGUGCGUAAUGAAAGUAAAAGUUGGGACCUCUGUCGUGGAGGGCACCGACGCCCGGACCAGACCUUCUGUGACGGAUCUGCGGUAGAGCAUGCAUGUUGGGACCCGAAAGAUGGUGAACUAUGCCUGAAUAGGGUGAAGCCAGAGGAAACUCUGGUGGAGGCUCGUAGCGAUUCUGACGUGCAAAUCGAUCGUCAAAUUUGGGUAUAGGGGCGAAAGACUAAU